GUCUUUUUGAAUUUAAUUUAAAGUCUAAUCUGCCCACUGAUAAAUAUUUAAGGGCCGCAGUAUUCUGACUGUGCAAAGGUAGCAUAAUCAUUAGUCUUUUAAUUGAGGGCUUGUAUGAAUGAUUGGACGAGAUAUAAGCUGUCUCAUAAAAAUUUAAGUAGAAUUUUAUUUUUUAGUCAAAAAGCUAAAAUAAAUUUAAAAGACGAGAAGACCCUAUAGAUCUUUAUAAUUUACUUUUAAAUUUUUUUAGGUUAUUUUUUGAAUUUAUAAGUUAAAUUAUUUUGUUGGGGUGACAAUGAAAUUUAAUAAACUUUCAUUAUUUUGAAACAUUAAUUUAUGAUUUAUUGAUCCACUAUUAGUGAUUAAAAAUUUAAGUUACCUUAGGGAUAACAGCGUAAUUAUUUUGGAGAGUUCUUAUCGAUAAAAUAGUUUGCGACCUCGAUGUUGGAUUAAGAUUAAUUCUGGGUGUAGCAGUUCAGUUUAUUAAGUCUGUUCGACUUUUAAUUUCUU
rnacentral:rRNA from 1 species